UCCUGAAGUGGCUAACAUCACCAUCUCGUCUGCUGACCUCUCCCCUUCUCUCUCGUCGAUUAAUUCCUUCACAUUCACUUCUGCCAAUAGCGUGAAAUUGGUGUGUGAGCUUUUCCCGCCAUUUUGUUGACGAUGAUUUCUCUCGGAACCAACUGUAAACACCAACCAUUGAAAGCUGUCACUGUACUUGUGUACUAGGAAGUUAUUCACUUCUGCUGAUGCUGGAGUACGAGUGCUGCUUGGAUUACACACGCUCUCAACCACUGAUUUGAUCUGAAAACGCAAUUUCCUGACAGUUUUAUCCACAAGACAUAAGAAGAAAUGGCCCAUCAUGAGAUUCCUGGAGAUACAAUAACCACACAAAGUACCGGCAGUCUUUGCCUACUCUCCGAUGAUGAGAAUAUAUUGUAGAGACUGCAGUAGAACUCUUCAACCCAAGCAUUGAAAUGACUUCAGUUUGAUCCAGUAGCUGUUCUGUUCUAUUCUUAUAUUUUAACUUGUCAACAAAACUUUUCUGUUUAUGUGUCAUAUAAACCCAAAACAAAACAAAAAAAAAAAAAAGAAUUAUAAUAACGCCAUGCCAUUUACAGUAAAAGUUCAAGGACACUCAGACAUACAUAUUCUCAAAUACUCUAUAUUCACAGAUCGUAUGCUGGAUGAAUAUAAAUCGUCAAAAGUCAAAAAUCUAUUUCUAAAGGUGACUCACCUGUCAAGUCUAAGAGAAUGGGCUUGAACAGCGUCCCGGUACCCCAAGCCUUCUCCAUCUCUGUCUGUCUGUCUGUCUGUCUCUCUCUCUCUCUCUCUGCAUAUUUCUCUAGCCUGAGUCAAAUCCAACAAAAUCUGUAUAAAAAUAUCAAGGUGAAAACUGGGGUAACAGGGGCGUUGAAGGGCGCGACAAAACGGACGCCGUGUCGUGGUGCGACUAGUGUCUUUAAGGAACAGUUGGCAGAUGGGCUACUGUGGGUCAGGGGGUCAAAGGGGACGUGUUUUGGCAUCUUAAAUAACAGAAACAGGCCUCAGCCAUUUGCCACCAUGGCGCUCCCUCUCCCUACAGGGGAAUCGACCAUCUGCUAUUCUCUCUACACACAUUCUUCGAACAACUGAACCCCUCGAUACGUCCAGUGUUGUCAAUGAUAAAUUCAAUGUCUAAAGUAUUUACAUGUAACACUUGGCACUCUGUAUGGAAUGUAGCAGGCACUUGUAACAUUGUAUAACUUGUGACAGAACAUAAAUUGAUGUAGCUAGUACAACAAUAGGACUUGUAUCGCCACAUAACAUUGUUGUAAGUAUGUAAAGUAGCAGAGCAAAUGGACGUUUCAAAGUCUCUAUUACAGUGUCUUUUGACUCUUCUACGGAAUAAACGUAUUUUGAAUAA